UAAUAGUAGUGUUACGAUGUCAGCAUUGGGAUUAGGAGAAGAGGAAGAUGGAGAAUCACCUUGGGAUUCUGAGAGUAUUUCUGAGAGUCCUCCAAAGAAAGACAUUAAACAUUUAUUUGGAGCUGCAGAUCAGAAAGGACCACGUAUAUUAAAUGAACA